rnacentral:tRNA from 1 species
AUUUAGAUAGCUUAAAUUAAAGCCUAGUAUUGAAGAUACUAUUAUAGUGGUGACCACUUCUAAGUG